rnacentral:rRNA from 1 species
UACGUAGGUGGCAAGCGUUAUCCGGAUUUACUGGGUGUAAAGGGCGUGUAGGCGGUUUUGCAAGUCAGAUGUGAAAUCUCCGGGCUUAACCCGGAAACUGCAUCUGAAACUGCAGAACUUGAGUACUGGAGAGGAUAGUGGAAUUCCUAGUGUAGCGGUAAAAUGCGUAGAUAUUAGGAGGAACACCAGUGGCGAAGGCGGCUAUCUGGACAGUAACUGACGCUGAGGCGCGAAAGCGUGGGGAGCAAACAGGAUUAGAUACCCUGGUAGU